UACGUAUGGUGCAAGCGUUGUUCGGCCUUACUGGGCGUAAAGAGCGCGCAGGCGGAUUGUUAAGUCGGGUGUGAAAUCCCGGGGCUCAACCCCGGGGCUGCAUCCGAAACUGGCGAUCUGGAGUCCCGGAGAGGCAGGCGGAAUUCUCGGUGUAGCGGUGAAAUGGGUAGAAAUCGAGAGGAACACCAAUGGCGAAGGCAGCCUGCUGGAAGGUGACUGACGCUGAGGCGCGAAAGCGUGGGGAGCAAACAGG
rnacentral:rRNA from 1 species